CGCGCAGGCGGUCGUUCAAGUCGAGUGUGAAAGCCCCCGGCUCAACUGGGGAGGGUCACUCGAUACUGAUCGACUCGAAGGCAGGAGAGGGAAGUGGAAUUCCCGGUGUAGUGGUGAAAUGCGUAGAUAUCGGGAGGAACACCAGUGGCGAAGGCGACUUCCUGGCCUGUUCUUGACGCUGAGGCGCGAAAGCUAGGGAGCAAACG
rnacentral:rRNA from 1 species